rnacentral:rRNA from 1 species
AUGGUCGUGCGCCAGCUUAUUGAGGAUGGAGAGGCCGAGGAGGUUGAGCUCGUCGAGGUCGGCGUACAGCAACGAAGCGACGGACGCCAUCGCCCCAGGGAUGCUGGCGACGCGGAGGGCGACGAGCUUCCUCUCGGUGAGCAUGGAGACGACAACCGCGGCCGAUCUGCGCACGUCCAUCUCGGACGUGCUCUUCCAGCUGAGCAUCUGGACGAGCCGCUCGAUGGUGGACGCGGACAUGCCGAUCUUGCGGAUCAUGGGAUCAGCGAGGCCGUGGGACUCGGCGAGCGCGCCAAGGAUGCCGGCCCCGAGGCUCUGGUCGUCGUACGAGCCCGCGGUGAGCAUGUCGUCGGCGUAGGACACGAGGUUCAUGCGCAGGCCAUCGAAGAUGCUCUCAUUCAGGCUCCGGGAGUAAGACUCGUAGAAGAAGCGGCGGACGGCGACGAGGCCAGACGGGGUGGCGAGGUGGCACUCCAUGGCGACGCGCUCGAGGAGGCGCUGGUGCCCCACCCUCCACUGCCACAGGGCCUUCUCCACGAGGAACAGCAGCGACUCCAGGAGCGCGAGCCCGUAGAAUAUGUUGAGCGCGGCGCGGCGGUUGGUCCAGCUGUCGCCGCCGUAGCGCUGGGUGAGGAGGCGGACGAGGGAGACGGCGGCGCACACCUUGGCGGACAGCAGCUGGAGCCAGUGGAAGACGUGGCCGACGGCGGCCCACUACACGGGCGGGCGCCACGUGGGCGUGGCCCUCUGCUGCCACUCCAGCUCGUGGCUGCGGCCCUGGAUGCGGGCGCCCUCGGUGAGCAGCAGCACGGUGAUGCACCAGAAGUCGGUGCGGCCGAGCGUGAUGGCGAAGCCGCCGAGCAGGGCCACCGUGGCCGUGAUGAAGGCCAACGUGCCGAGGAGGCUCACGACCUUCUCGAGGACCGCGAGCUGCAUGGCCAGCACGGUGAGCCGGCGCUCCGGCGGCGCCACGUCGUCGCCGUCGCCGGAGCGGACGCAAGGGGUCAGUGUAUGUAUGGCCUUGUGCGGCUCGAACGGUGUGGUCGGCAGCUGGGGCUGGUCGGGGAUCUGGACGCAGACGCUCGGGACGACAGAGCUAGCGCGGCGAUCCAUCCUUUCCUUGUGUUACCUACGUGUAUAACUCGCUGCCGGUUUUAG